rnacentral:rRNA from 1 species
AUGGUGUUCACUCAUUUUGACGCCGAGGCAAUUCUGAAAAUCCCGCUGUGUACACGCCGAGUCGAGGAUUUCUGGGCGUGGCAUCAUGAGCCUAGAGGAAGAUUCAGUGUUCGGUCUGCCUAUCACAUGAUUCUCAAUACAAAACACAGUAGAGAGGCAUGGCUAAAUGAGGAGGGCGGGACUUCACAUGAGUUCAGUGAAUCCAACAACUGGUCCAUGAUCUGGCACAUCCAAGUCCCCUCAAAGCUCAAGAUGUUUCUAUGGCAUUUAGCCAGGCAGUCAAUGCCAACAGGAACUGUUCUGGAGCACCGUCAUAUGGCGACAGAAAAUACUUGCCUACUCUGUGGAGCCAUUGAUACUUGGAGGCAUGCACUGAUCUCAUGUCCCAUGGUUGCGAGUGUAUGGGCGCUGGCCCCCGAAGAGUUGGUGUUUCAUAUGCUAGAGCGGGGAGAGGAGAACCCCAAGGAUUGAUUGUUUGCGAUUCAUGAAAUAUUAUCUAAGGAGCUUUUUGAUCGAUUGGUGGUCUCACUAUGGGCGAUAUGGGGAGUCAGGAGAAAGGCCAUACACGAGAACAUCUAUCAAUCACCCCAUUCGGUGAGUAGUUUUAUAUCUAGUUACUUGGGGGAGCUGCAGCUGGUAAAUGCCAAGAACACAGGCGUGACGGUGCUUAGAACUGAGAAUCCAAAGAGGUGGAUACCUCCGAGUGCGGGCAAUGCUAAGAUGAAUGUUGACGCGGCUGUGUCGAGGCAGGGAUCCGGGUCUAUUGGGGUGAUCUGCAGAGACCAAACAGGUAUGUUCAUCGGUGCUUCCACUUUUGGUUUCAAAAACAUUGUAGACCCACCGACCCUCGAAGCUAUGGCAAUCAGAGAAGCACUGGCGUUGGCAGAUGAUCUAUACUUGCGGCGGAUUGAAGUGGCAUCGGAUUGCAAAGUGGUAGUGGAGGAUCUGCAGAAGGAUAAUUCGGCCAGCUACGGUGCAAUUGUACAUGAAAUAAUAGCUCAUUCCUCAUCUUUUGAUUUUUGUAGUUUUAAACAUGAAUUUAGGAGCUCCAAUUAUGAAGCUCACAACUUAGCGAGGCAUGCAUUAUCUCUCGGUGGUGGCCGCCGUGUUUGGUUAGGCCAUCCUGGGAACCUACCUUCCAUCCCUGUAAACAUUGUGACGAAUUAA